GUUAGGAAUAUUGGACAAUGGGCGAAAGCCUGAUCCAGCCAUGCCGCGUGAACGAUGAAGGCCUUCGGGUUGUAAAGUUCUUUAGCCGAUGAUUAUAAUGACUGUAGUCGGAAAAUAAGCCCCGGCUAACUUCGUGCCAGCAGCCGCGGUAAUACGAAGGGGGCGAGCGUUAUUCGGAAUCACUGGGCGUAAAGCGUGCGUAGGCGGGUUUGUAAGUUAGGAGUGAAAGCCCAGGGCUCAACCUUGGAAUUGCUCUUAAAACUGCAAGGCUCGAAUCUCGGAGAGGAUAGCGGAAUUUCCAGUGUAGCAGUGAAAUGCGUAGAUAUUCGAAGGAACACCAGUGGCGUAAGCGGCUAUCUGGACGAGUAUUGACGCUGAGGCACGAAAGCGUGGGGAUCAAACAGGAUUAGAAACCCUGGUAGUCC
rnacentral:rRNA from 1 species